UGGGGAAUAUUGCUCAAUGGGCGCAAGCCUGAAGCAGCGACGCCGCGUGAGGGAUGAAGGCCUUCGGGUUGUAAACCUCUUUCAGCGCCGAAGAAGCGAAAGUGACGGUAGGCGCAGAAGAAGCACCGGCUAACUACGUGCCAGCAGCCGCGGUAAUACGUAGGGUGCAAGCGUUGUCCGGAAUCAUUGGGCGUAAAGAGCUCGUAGGCGGUCUGUCGCGUCUGCUGUGAAAACCUGGGGCUUAACCCCGGGCCUGCAGUGGGUACGGGCAGACUAGAGUGCGGUAGGGGAGACUGGAAUUCCUGGUGUAGCGGUGAAAUGCGCAGAUAUCAGGAGGAACACCGGUGGCGAAGGCGGGUCUCUGGGCCGUAACUGACGCUGAGGAGCGAAAGCAUGGGUAGCGAACAGG
rnacentral:rRNA from 2 species